UCUCUCUCUUCUUCCUUCCUUUCUUUCUCUUUUCUUUUUCUUUUCUCUUAUUAUGUUAGGUCGGCCCCUCCAGGACAAUGUUGAGGAGAAGCAAGGGUAGUGGGCAUCUGGCCUUUUCCAUGACUGUAAAGAUUCAGCCUGUCAAUUUCUCCAAAACAUCUGUUGGGAUUAUAGAUCUAUUUGGCAAGAAUGGACGUCUUAACAACAGUGAAUCUACCAACCCAUAAAUAAGGUAUCUCUCUUCAUUUAAUUAGGCUUUCUUUAAUUUCAGCAAUUUUUACAGUUUUCAGUAUACAGAUGAUAUUCAUCUUUUAACAGAUUUAUUCCGAAGUAUUUCAUAUUCUUUGAUGCAACUACAGAUGGAAUUAUUUUCAGUUCUCAAUUGUACAUUGCCAAUAUACAGAAAUACAAUUGACUUUUUUGUAUUGAUCUAUAUUCUGUAAUCUUGUACCAAGUGACUUACUAGUUCUGGUAGCUUUUUAUUAUUUAAAGAUUCGAUCAAAUUUUCUACAUAGAUGAUUAUGUCAUCUGUAAACAGAGACCAUUUUACUUUUUCCUUUCCAAACUGGAAAUCUUUUAUUUCUUCUUCUAUUCCACUAGCUAGGACAACAUUAAAUAGAAGCAGUGAGAACAGAAAGAAAAUCUUGUCUUCUCCCUGAUUUUAGGAGAGAAGCAUUCAGUCCUCAUGAUUAAGUACGAUUUUACCUGUUCCUUGUUCCUAAAUGCCUUUUUUCAGGUUGAGAAAGCUCUUUUCUAUUCCUAGUUUGCUAAGAGUUCUUAUCAGGAACAGAUGUUGGAUUCUGUCAAAUGCUUUUCCUUCAUGUACUGAGAUAAUCAUAUGGUUUUUCUUUUUUAGUUUGCCAGCUUUCCUUUUCCAAUUACAACCUUAUAUUAAAACCUCAUUUAAUCCUCCAUAAUUUUUAACCUCUCACAUUUCCCAUAUUUUUAAUUUAUGCUGCAUUCUGGAUAAAUUCAUCAAUUCUGUCAGCCUCCAAUUUAUUCUUUGACUUUAUGCAAUAUCUGUUUAAUCUAUCUGCAUUUUUAUUUCAAUGAUUUUAUUUUAAAUUCCUAAAUGUUCUGUUUGGUUCUUUUUAAAGAACUGGUCAUUUUUUAAGAGUCUUUUGUUUCUCAUUUUUUAUUCCACUCUGUAUUCUUUAAAUAUAUCAUAAACAGGUAUUUUAGAUUCUUUUUCAGAUAGAAUAAUUCUAACUUAUUAAGUGCAUAGUGUCCUUCAGAAGUCUGAUAGGAGUCUAAGAUCUGUUUUUCAUUGCCUUCAUUUUUUCCUACUGACUGACUGUCUUUCAAUCAUAGAUUCUUGUUUAUUUAUACGGUUGGUGCCUUUUUUACUAUGAGCUCUUACUUGGCUCACGUUACUAUGUGCUCAAUUCUGACGGCUAAAACGAAAAAUGCUCUUCUCUACAGAGGAUGUGCAUUUGUUUCUUGUGGGAGUGAGAUACUGUUACCAACAGAGAACCAUGUUAGUCACCCACACAGGUCUUAGAUUAAUGCAACUCUGAUAGGUUCAUUUUAGAGCCCCAGAGCCUACUGGAUUGAUCCCGUCACUGACAUGGGCAUCUGACUUGAGGUCAACUCUGGCUUUUCCAAUGACUUAUAGCUCACAAAUCCCCAUUAAGUUUCAACUAUUUUAUCUGCUUCUGUAUAUGCAUAAGUAUAUCUGUAUAUGCAUCUUUGCCCCUCAGAGAUUCUCUUAUCUUUUGCAGGCCCAAGAGUGCAUUGCAUGGUAUACCUCUCCAAUUUACCUAGAAUUUAUUUCUAUUGUAGUGAGAGGACUCUUCAGAAAAUUUGGUCCCCAAAAUAGUAAAAGCAAAAACCUUCUACCCUUUAUGGAUGAGAGUAUUUACUGAUGAUAUCUGACUUAGACUCUGGCUUAUUGCUACUUACUUUUUUAAUCAAAUUAAGAAGUCACAGACAGAUGAGUUAAGUAAGCAUUUUUCUCAAAACAUUAAAAUAUUUCAUGUUUGAAUGUCCUAAAAUUUUUGAAUCUUUAAUCUUAUCACCAAAUCAUUUAAUAUUUCUAAAAGAAUAAAACACAUUCUUUUUCACAGUUAAAAUUCUCAUUAGUACUAUAGCUGCUCAAAGCUCUGAACACAUUCCAAAUUUAGCCUAAUACAUCCUACACACAUGAUUACAAGACUUUGUUCGAUAAAAAUUCCUGGCUUAGAAAAUGAAAGUAUCCUAU